GGCUUUGGUAGAACUUCUUCCGGUUGCUGGAUGUGGAAGGAGCAUGGAGGGUAGUUCUAACACCAAUGAAAGGGGUGAGCUUAAAGUAAAUGGUCCUAUUGUUGGAUGCCUCAGUAACGCCAAAUUUAACAGCCAAAUUAUGCACCUUGCAAACAUCUCCCCAUUGACCUGAAAUCUUGCAGUUGAUAUAAGGGGCAUUGUCAAACUUGAGAUCACAGUGAUUCCAUGUAUUACCAAGCUAAUCAAUUAAUCUGAGUUGAGUCUCCUCAUUAGGCAGUGCAUUUUGACAGAAACCUCUCCAAUAGAGCGUCUGUUGAAUAAUUAAACAACAUUUUAGCCAUGAAUAAAAAGUACUAAUGAUCUNNNNNNNNNNNNNNNNCAUGAGAAAUGAAACAUACCAAAGUCCCAGUAUGGACAUCAGAAAUAGUGAGAGUUUUCUCAAGACUAUGUGCAAAAACUCUUGGAAGAACAAAGUAGGGAAUAGGUCCAUUUGAAGAUGAUUAAAGAAAAGGUUUUUCCAACAUGAGUUUAUAUGGAGGAGUUUUAUGAGGAUAGGUGAUCUCCAUGCCAGUAAUGAAUCGAACCCGGAUGAAAAAAACAAAAGGACUGAUGAACAAAAGAGUAAUCCAAGCGCCAGCGUUGAUGUUAUAAAAAUCUCUCAACCGAGACCA
rnacentral:lncRNA from 1 species